UGAGUUUUUGGACGGAGUAAAGAAGAGCAGCGGACAUCUCCCCACUGAAUUCCCGGAGGUGAUUAAGGAAUCAUUUGAAGAUAAACUUAUGGACUCCAGCGAACUCGCCGCCAAUAACUUCCUAGAUUCUACAAUCGAAUUCGCUAGCGUCGAUCACCUAAGAGAAAUCCCUGAUGAAUCAGUUGAGGAUUACCUCCCCAAACUUGCCACCAAUGAAUCUUUCGGUGUGCCAUAGAAAACAGAGAUUUCCCAAGGCAGCUCUUUUGAGCAACAUACUUCUGUUUCCUGUGUUGAACUCUGCUCUGACUUGUCAACGGUAGAAUCUUCCAUUGAAUUCAAGGAGGCUUUUGGAGAUCUACCAAGUAAAAUCUCUGCUUUAAUUGAUGAAUCAGUUGAAGCUGUCCUCCCAAACUCCGGCGAGCUCACUGCGGAGAACUCACAUCAGAUUCCAGUUUUUUCCACUGCUAAAAUCGGCGCUGCCAACAAUGCCCCUACCAUUUCUUCAACUCCCAAGCUUCCAUGCGAGUCUGAAUCCAUGUCUCUAGAGGAGCUAUCAAUAGUUCAAACUCAGUCAUCUGGAGAAACUGGCAUGGCUGCGACUGAGACCAAGACCAAAGCCUUGGAGGAGGAGGUUGAGGAGGUUUACCUCAAAGAUGAGAACUUGGAGCUUUUGAGUUUAACAAAACUUACGGCAAUGUACAAACAAAUACUGAAUGGUACAAAAACUGAGCAGGAGAGGAAGAAAUCUAUAAUCAAACCAGAAGAUUUGGAGCAUUUGAGCAGCAUCAAACACGAUGAAGACUGCAAGUAGAAGUUGAAUGAUGAUAUGAUUAAGUCGGAGAGCAAGAAAUCUGUGAUCAAACAAGAAGACUUGGGAGUGCCUGAGCCGCAGCAAACUUGAUUCAAACAAGCAAAAGUUGAAUGACGA